CUGUCCCCGCUCGCUGCCUGGCGGCGGCUCGGCGCCGUGAGGGGGGCAGGACCUGGGCGGCCUUGGCCGGCGGCCCCUCGGGGCGUUCCUGGGCGCCGAGGGCAGCGGGGCGGCUGCCGUGCGGUGCGAGGGAGCUGGAAUGCUGCCGGAGCUUUAAUUGGGGCGGGGGGGGGGGCUGCGGUGCCGGAGGGCGGGGGGGGGUACCCGGUGGGGGGCCGCCGCGGGGGUCCGGGCAGCCCGCACUGCACGUCGCCGCUGCUUUAAUAGGUCUUCAUCUUAUUGAUAGAUAACAGUCAACGUGCUGGUUCGUUUGUGUUUUGCUUUUUUGUUGUUUGUUUUGUGGUUUUUUAAAAAUAAAAUAUAUUUGCAGUGAUUUUGGUAAAGAAAUGUUUCUGUAGUAAGUUUGCAUCUUUUUGCCUAAUUGUGUACUUGUUUUCACGAGGCCGACCAUUGGUAUGAGAAACCUAGUAAGGUGGCACGGUGCCACUACUUAGGCCCUUUAUUAAGAGAGUGGGUGGUAGGGAUGCUAUACCUUACAGCAGCCUUUCACCUUGUUUUUGCAGAUUCUUCCAUAUCCUUCACAUUUUCUGUAUCUGCAAGCAUUCCCCUAAGCCUUGGAACUACUGUUAUGUUUUUCAAGCAAUGGCUGGAAAGCCUCAAAAUAUGAGCCUUGCUGCAGCUAUAAAUGAAGUAACAAGGGACUCAGUACUGUGACUGGUGUUUCAUCACCAUUUCCAAAAAACUUACUUCAGCUUCAGGCCUCUCCUAUAAAUCCAGUUGACAAUGGAUAUCAACAUGUAGAGGCCAACAGUCAAGCUUUUCCAGGCUGAAAUCCUUCCUAUUAUGAUUAGCUCAGGAACAAUUUGCUAAGAAGAAUUUCUGUUGUUACGUGGAAACUCUGAUCUCCUAUGCUUAAAGGACAUGAAGCGACUGGAGACCAAAAUGGACCAAUACCUGAUGGGAUUCCUGCUGAUAUUUGAGAGAGCCACCUCAGCCGGCACAUGAGAAUCGCUGUCCCGCUGGAGUGGGAAAGGCAGCAGGGGGAACAGGACAGGGGUCAGCAUGGCUGCCGCAGAGCAGCAUGGCCCCUCUCCGGCAUCAGGAGCAGGCAAGAAACCUCAGACAGUGUGAAAGGCAGCAGGCAGAGGCCAAGGGAGGGAGCUAGGACUUUUUCAGUCUCCCAGCAGAUCAUCACUUGGGCUCAGCGCUCUGUCUCUCUGUCCUCUAAAUAUAUAGUGCUAAGUACAGGACUCCAUCCCCACAGUGAAAUCCUUUGGUAUGUAAAUAUAAUUUCCUCCGUGAGUCAUGCAUUAAUUAAAAAUAACAAUUCUUUUAAAUGUUACUUUCUCUAUUUCAGUAAAUAUGCUGAUAUCCUGUGCCUUGGUGACAGGCCUUGCUGAUCAUACUGCGCUCCUGGCUCACUUUGAUUAGGCUCUGCAAAUACACCACCAUUUUCAGAAAAUCUGUGUGCCGGGGAAGCCAGAAUCUCUCUUAUGGUCCUCAGAUAGCCACUCAUGGACUUG